AAAUAUUCUACGUCAGAGUCCUUACUAGACUAGCCGCGCUGCACACGUGUGUUAGGUCUUUUUGCUUCAUGAUUCGCUAGACUCUGAACGUCUGUAUGCAGAUGUUUGCGAUUGGGCGUUAGAAUGUUCUGGAAUUCUCGCUUGAUACUGCGAUUUUCAAAGGAGGUCAUGGCUGAUUCAGGUUAUACUUGAAUACUCCCUGUAAUCAUUGGUGACUGGGUGGCCCUGAUUUACAUACUGGCAGCAAGAAUAAUGGAGACAGUGAUGAUGGUCCAGGAUGUCUUGGAUCUACUGUGUGAGGAUACAAAAGUGGUUUGAGGUGGACGAUGACCGUUCUGGGUCUGCAGUUUCAAGAAGAUCUGUUUCAGAAUAUGGAUUCAUGAUUUUGGGUUGUGAAUCUAAUCUAUCUAUGUGGCAGUUUUGUCUCGCAAAACCACUGGGAGUGAUGACUGCAAUAAAGGAGCCCAUUACCACUAUUUGGUCUUGAACAUCAGGUUGUACUUGAAUACUCCCUGUAAUCAUUGGUGACUGGGUGGCCCUGAUUUACAUACUGGCAGCAAGAAUAAUGGAGACAGUGAUGAUGGUCCAGGAUGUCUUGGAUCUACUGUGUGAGGAUACAAAAGUGGUUUGAGGUGGACGAUGACCGUUCUGGGUCUGCAGUUUCAAGAAUAUCUGUUUUAGAAUAUGGAUUCAUGAUUUUGGGUUGUGAAUCUAAUCGAUCUAUGUGGGAGUUUUGUCUCACAAAACCACUGGGAGUGACUGCUAUAAAGGAGCCCAUUACCACUAUUUGGUCUUGAACAUCAGAGUUGAGUCGUCUUUCACUGCAUAGAAGUGCCACAUGAAAAGAUGUGCCAUGCUGUUCCGUCAACUACUUGGCAACCAGAUGGGAUUACUGGACAUUGGAUUCCAACACUUGUGAGGUUUGCCAUGCCAUUGAUGACCACACCUUCCACAACAUCACUAUUGCAAAACAGUCAUUGGUGUUUACCUUCAAGGCCAUUCACAGUUAACCUGGCAAUAGCCAGAUGAAUUUCGCUCCGCCUAGCUCCACUCAUCCAUCUGGAACCGAUCCAUUGAAGUGUUGCUUCAGAAGGCUGGGCCUAAUCAAAAAAUGCUUGCAUAUGAUUGAAUA